GUGUGUCAGCUUGACGUCCAUCUGCCAUCUUUUCUCCACUGGCCAACGAGGUUAAAAUAGCCAUUUUCAAAAUGGUAGAACUGCUGGCUGGCAAAUUAGUUGUUUCCAUGCUAUCUUAAGUGGGUAUUUACUGAGUGUUUACCAGCAGUUUUUGUCUCUUCUACAACUGGAAAAUUUACGACCAAAAAGGUUGUCCUUUACGAUAGGUCGUUGUGGCUCGAUGAGACAGGCCUAAAGUUUUUGUUUUGUGCCGACCUUGGAAACCGUAUAACAUCUAACAGCAGGUAGCAGCAGAUACCCUUCUCUGCCUUAACUGCUGUGUGGUUAUCCCUUCAAGAAAUUUCCAUUAGGAAAGAGCUUGCUGAGCCUUCACUUCUCUGGUCUUUGUUUCCCUAUUCGUUGGCAUGGAGAGAAACUGUCAAAACCUCAAAAGGAAGGAAGAAUAACAAACAAAGCAGCUCUCCAAGAAUUGUUUGUUUUGCUCAGUGAAUCGACAGGUCCUAGUUUCGAAUCAACAAAUAGUGCAGCUAUGCCUCGUGGAGCUGCAGGCAAAAGAAGACAAGGAAGAACAGAAAAGUUUUCUGGCUUGGCUGCUUGAUUUUCCAACCGUGUCUACUCCGUGAUGUAGUGGCUCUUCAAUAAAUUUCGAAUGAUAUGGAACACUAAAUUCUGGAAUAAAUCCGUUCGAGUUUCCCUCGAAACCUCCCC